rnacentral:rRNA from 1 species
AGCGAGUUAAUGUCGGGCACUCUAGCGAGACUGCCUAGGUUAACUAGGAGGAAGGUGAGGAUGACGUCAAGUCCGCAUGGCCCUUAUUGCCCAGGGCUACACACGUACUACAAUGGCCAGUACAGAAGGAAGCAAGACCGCGAGGUGGAGCAAAUCCUAUAAACUAGGCCCCAGUUCAGAUUGCAGUUCUGCAACUCGACUGCAUGAAGAUGGAAUUGCUAGUAAUGGCGAGUCAGCUAUAUCGCCGUGAAUACGUUCCCGGGUCUU